GACACGCAGACACUUAUCCCUUCACUCUCUCCCCACUAGUCCCCAUUCCAUGGUGGCCGCACCGUCGCACGACGCCGCCUCUCUGCUGCCACCAUGUCGCCCGACGCCUCCUCCUCCUCCCCUCUGCCUCGCCCCGCCGCCUCCUCGCCGCACGACGGCCUCGCCUCGCCAGCAACCCCGCCGGUCUUGCCUAGAUAAACUCUGCCGCUGCCAUCCCCAUGUCCCAGCGUAGAUCUAGACGGGAGCUAGAGGGGCAUGCUGGAGACGAUGUGGGAGCGGGAAUAUCAUAGCGGACCGAGAUCCAGUGCGUCUACGUGCCCGCCGUCAUUGUUGGCCCCCGUGCUUGGCUCCCACACUCGCUCCGAGUAGGCGCUCGCAGCUCGCCUACUGCUCGGCUGCUCCAGGUACUUGACGGACUCAGUUAAAGCACAACGUCAGGCUGCAGCAGAAGCUUGAGGAAUGCAGGGGCUAAUGAUAGUACUCAUCAACCAAAAUUACCGGCGUUGCCAACCAUGCUUUGAACUUUUGGAGAUCAAGCUGUACGGUUGUACAAUGAAGAUUUUUGGUAACUACCUCAACUCUCAUGAGAUGAUUAUCUUAGAAAAUCGAGAUAUUUUCUCAUGAAUUUCAGCUCUCCUGAUGAGGCACAUAGUUUUGUACUUGGGGUGCUCAGAAAGAAUAGGAUGUUUUCUUUUUUAUACAUCUCGUGGCUUAUCCUUGUGUCAGAACAAAAAGGAAAAAAGAAUACUUGGUCUUUACAUGAAAAGGACGCUCCUGUGGUUAUUGUGAUAUCAAAUUUUGCAUAAUUUCUUCUAAUGUUUUAUUUACUCUUUUACUGGCUUCCCUGUCUUUAUUUGUGGUGCUUAGUUGUUCAACCUGGCAUGCUCUGUUACCCAAGAUGCAGUUUAAGGAUUCAAGUAGCGAUUGCAACCCAAAACAUUGCAAAGAAUCUGCUACCAGAGGCUUCAUUAUGCACAUCUUUUAUUUUUACAAAAUGGAGUCUGAUCUGCUGUCAUCACAUCAACAGGUAUGCCUACAUCACCAAUGUUUGUACAUCGACAUUUAUUCACACACAAAUGAAUAUAUUCUAAGGUUAGAACGAACAUCACCUUCAACACCUGGUGUGUAUCGUAGUUGGGUGACAGCAGAUUGCGCAGUGGCCUCUCGGCGGUGUGAAAAUCUGGCAGAAGAAAUCACCUGAUCAUAUAUUUAAUUAUACUUCUGAUUGCUCGAUCAUAUGUAAAGAACAGAAUAUAAUGGACAAACCAGGUGAUAUUGCCGCGGGUGUCCUAGAUGGGAUGUGUUCUGCAUUAAGAAUAGUAGAUGUAGCUUUCUUAUGAGCCCUGUUUAGUGUAUACCUCUCCCUUUCCCUUUGUCUCUUCAACUCUUUAGGACCUGCCAUUUGGCCUGCGUGCACGAAAUCUUUACCUAGGCUCGAGUUGGUGAUAUAUUUAAGUUACUUACCUGAGUUGGUGAUGUUGAAUAGGUCCUCAAAUGGGGUCCCUAAGUCGUCACGCUGAUCGUAAUUAUUUACAUUUUCCUUGUUACAAAAUGUCCGGUUUGCAUUGAAGGAAUUUGGAUCAUGUAUGGAGCCUGAUCAGACGUCAUCACAUCAGCAUUUAUGCCUAUACCACCAAUGUCAGUAUAGUAACAUUUUUUUACACACAAAUGGAGUUCCAAAUUCGUUAGGCUGAGAGGAUGCUAUAUGCAACUGUCUCAAUCAGGAUCUUAGUGUUCCCAAUCAUGGUUGUUGUACAUGAAAGAUUUACUUGAGCCAUAAACAGGAUGGUGGCAGGAGAAAAUAUGUACAAUGAUUUGGUGUUUCCAAUGCUUUGAGCUGAAAAACAGUUCAGAUACCUGAAUUGCUGAUGUUGGUUAGGUCCUGAAAUGGAGUCCUUAAGUCGUUACGCCGAGAGGAUGCCAUAUGCAGCUGUCACAAUCAGGAUCUUACUAUUCCCAAUCACGGUUGUUGUACUUGAAAGAUUUAGUUAUGAGCCAUAAACAGGAUGGUUGUAGGAGAAAAAUAAGUACAAUAUUUGAUGCUUCCAAUGCUUUGAGCUGAAAAACAGUUCAGAUUAUAUGCUUCCAGCCGUGAAACUGCUUAUCGCAUUAGUCUUUUUCAUUGUAUUUUAGUGCUUCCGGUGAUUCCUUCUCUGUCAUCAUUGUGCUUUCCAGGUUUGAUUCUUCUGUGACACAUUAAGUGGCCUCACAGGUUGGUUGCACGUUCCCCUCUGUUAUGUAAGUAGCAACCCAUAGUGCCACUUUUUUCCUUGGUGCUAAUAGAAAAAAUUCUCAAACAUAGUACACAAGAAGUAUUCAAUGGCAGGAACACCGGUACGAUAUUGUGCAUAUAUAAUCAUUAACAUACUACAAUAUUUGUUUCCUCAGGUUCUGGUCCCAGUUCAAUCACCGCUCCACACAGUAGGGUUAGCCGAAGAGUCUCUCAGGACUGUUCAAAAACACCAUGAGAAAACUCUGUUAGAGCCAGCACACCUGUAGACUGUGAAUCCAAGUAGCAGAACAUGACAAUUUUUUGUGAAAUCGGUCACUCCAUCUAACCACACUGAUUAAUGUGUUUAUCCAAGAAUAGUAUUCAGUAGAAUAGAAGUAGAGUAGACAGGCAUGGUAAAUCUCAGACAGAUAUAGGAGAGAAAUUCUGCAGUGAGGGAGCAAAGCGAAGCUGGGACUGAACCUGGAGACAAUAUCCGAUGACGCCGAUAUGCUCAACACCCUUGAACAGGACCAGCGGGAACACGUUCCGCCCUUGCGCCACCAGGUCUUGCCGUCCUGUUGCUGGUUGGCGAGCCGGUACUUCCCGUCGGCCUUGUUGGUAUCGGAAACGCCGGAGAAGAGCUAAGCCGUAGGCACGAAGUCUUUCCCGUUGACCAUGUAUCCGUCGGGGACUCGAACGUCCACCAUACGACUGUGUCGUCAGCACGGAACAACACAAAGUUGUCGUCAUCGCGCAGGGCACCCGCGACUCAGGCAGAUCUAAUUGAGCGACCAGGUGGGUUUCCAUUGGCCGUGGAAAUCAUACCUAGCCGAUCUGAUGGGCUGUCUGCUGCUUCAAAACUCAGGCAAAUUGCUGCAUAAUAAUCUUGUUGUAGCCUGACAAAUCUGUGAAUAUUUGAUUGUAGGUGAAAGGAGGAGCGGCCACCCACUCGACGGUGCGGUGCAGGGUGGCAAGGGAGCCGGCAGGGAGGUGUCAACGCGGUCCAUGGCCGCGAGGGAACCGUCCAGGAAGGCGACGAUGCGAUGCAGGGAUCGAGGCCGCCGUGCCGGGAGCCGACGGGGCUGCUGAGCUUCCUUUGGGGCGGUGGCGAGGAAAGGCAGGAGAGGGGCGAGGGAGACGAUUAGGUUUAGAUUGCUUUUUUUCAAAUUUAUUAGAUGGUUAGAUUAGCGUGAUUUGAGGGGCUGCGGAGGUGGGAUGGAGAGUUUCAUAUUUUCAUCUGGUGGAGUACGGUCAGUCCAUGUAAACUGCUAAGCGCACACCAGAUCUCGAAUAAAUUAAUGAUGGCUGUUA